ensembl:lncRNA
CCCAUGUCCGUCCAGGUGGCCAAACUGCUGCCCCAUUGGAUAGUGCGCUCGAGAGCAGCCCCUGCUCCUUCUUCGGGCCCAGGUCCCUUGAGCCCGGUGCAGGCCCUCUGGGAGAGCGCCAGGCCACAGACACAGAGGAAGGAGCCGGAACACCUGGGCUUGAAUCCCUGCUCUGUUGGUAUUAGGCCAGCGGUGACAGAUCAAUCUGAAGUCCGAGUCUGUCCGGGGCAGCCCGGAGGACACACGCACCUCUCAGACUCCCUUGCAGCUAGGUCGGCCACGGGACCCACGUCUGGCCACGGACACAUAAGUGAAGGUCGGCAGCCAGGGCCCCGAGAAAGCCGUGUUUUCCUCUUUCGUCCCCACCUCGUGGUGCGCCUCUGUGCUGGCCUCCUUCCCUCCUGCCACAGUUUUUCUCCAAGAGGCCGAGAGGACAAGGCAGGAGAGAGCCCAGGCGGCUGGGACAACAGAAGGAACUGAGCUGUCACGGAAGGAACGCAUCACGUACGUGAAGGCCGCUUGCCUCGCGCGGGACUGACUUUGCUUCCCAGCUGUGCCUUUUCCCAGCCGCGCGACCUUCCUCGGCCUCAGCGGUCUCAUCUGUGAAGUGGGAAGAAGCGUGAGCGACCAGGGCUGAGACCCUGCUCUGUCUCACAGGCCCGUUGCGCCGCUGGGCCGCUGAAGGAAAAUGUAACACCACGGUGGACGCAUUGGACUGUGUUUUGGAAGUGUUUUUGGCAUUCGAUUUAAUCCAGUUUGGCAGAUGCUUUGAAUAAUCCCUGAUAUGUGGAAUAUUGGGGUGGCCGUGAGGGCGCCCGGGUGGCUCAGUGGGUUAAGCGUCCGACUUCGGCUCAGGUCAUGAUCUCCGUGAGUUCGAGCCCCACGUUGGUCUCUGUGCUGACAGCUCGGAGCCUGGAGCCUGCUUCGGAUUCUGUCUCCCUCUCUCUCUGCCCCUCCCUUGCUUGUGCUCUCUCUCUCUCUCUCAAAAAUAAAUAAACAUUAAAAAUUUUUUAAAAAAAUUGG